rnacentral:rRNA from 1 species
UGAGGAAUAUUGGUACAAUGGGCUGAGAGCCUGAUCCAGCCAUCCCGCGUGCAGGAAUGACGGCCUUAUGGGUUGUAAACUGCUUUUAGUAUAGGAAUAAACCUACCUUACGUGUAGGGUGUUGAAGGUACUAUACGAAUAAGCACCGGCUAACUCCGUGCCAGCAGCCGCGGUAAUACGGAGGGUGCGAGCGUUAUCCGGAAUUUAUUGGGUUAAAGGGUCGCUAGGCGGAUAUAGUAAGUCAGGGGUGAAAUCCGGCAGCUCAACUGUGAAUUGCCUUUGAUACUGCAGAUCUUGAGUGAGGUUGAAGUAGGCUGGAAUGUGUAGUGUAGCGGUGAAAUGCAUAGAUAUACACAGAACACCAAUUGCGAUAGCAGGUCACUAAGUCUCAACUGACGCUGAUGGACGAAAGCGUGGGUAGCGAACAGGAUAGAUACCCCUGGUAGUCCACGCCGUAAACGAUGGAUACUGUCUGUUGGGGAUGUAAGCGUCAGUGGAUAAGCGAAAGUGAUAAGUAUCCCACCUGGGGAGUACGUUCGCAAGAAUG